rnacentral:rRNA from 1 species
AGGACGAACGCUGGCGGCGCGCUUAACACAUGCAAGUCGAGCGAGAACCGGGACUUCGGUCCCGGGGACAGCGGCGAACGGGUGAGUAACACGUGGGUAAUCGACCCUCGGCACCGGGAUAGCCCGAGGAAACUCGGAUUAAUACCGGAUGGCCCCUCCGACUCUCGAGUCGGUCGGGAAAGGUAGCUUAGGCCUCUGGCCGGGGACGAGCCCGCGGCGGAUUAGCUUGUUGGUGGGGUAAUGGCCUACCAAGGCGACGAUCCGUAGCUGGUCUGAGAGGACGAUCAGCCACACUGGGACUGAGACACGGCCCAGACUCCUACGGGAGGCAGCAGUGGGGAAUCUUGCGCAAAUGGGCGAAAGCCUGACGCAGCGACGCCGCGUGAGGGAAGAAGGCCUGGUGUAACUCUUCAGAGGACGAAGCACUCGGUGAAUAGCCAGAGGUGACGGUACCUCCAGAAGAAAGCCCGGACUAACUACGUGCCAGCAGCCGC